rnacentral:rRNA from 1 species
UACGUAGGGACCAAGCGUUGUUCGGAUUUACUGGGCGUAAAGGGCGCGUAGGCGGUAUGACAAGUCACUUGUGAAAUCUCCGGGCUUAACUCGGAACGGCCAAGUGAAACUGUCAAACUAGAGUGCAGAAGGGGCAAUCGGAAUUCUUGGUGUAGCGGUGAAAUGCGUAGAUAUCAAGAGGAACACCUGAGGUGAAGACGGGUUGCUGGGCUGACACUGACGCUGAGGCGCGAAAGCCAGGGGAGCAAACGGG